rnacentral:lncRNA from 10 species
UAGAUGAGCCAGACCUACUGGAUUUCCUCACUGCCUAGGCUCUCCAGGCUCUUCAUUUGCAACGUGUUAUUCUGGGGCACAAGCGCUGGUGUCCCAAACCCUGAAACUGUGAAAUUGGCUGUGCUCCAGCGACCCACCAAAUCAGCAGAAAUGCUUUCGGCAGUCCCCUUCUUCCUCUAUUUAAAAUCAGCCUCUGCGUGAAUUCCCCCCAGAGUCGGGAUUCUUUCCAAUCAGUCACUUUCUGAUAUCUUAACAGCUUGGUAAAGAAAUGCAGCUUUUAAUUGAGGGGAAAGACAGCACACGGAAGUCGAUAUCUUUGUACAGAUCCUUUUUAUUCAGAUUUAUAUAGGCAAUUUACCAACACAGAAAACCAGUCUAGCAGCUCCAAAGUAACUGUAAAAACGGUGGUGCUGACGGUGGUGUGCCCCACACAGGGCAGGUGACCUCAGACGUGGAGCAGCAUCUCCCGUGGGAUACUAUUUCAGACGUGCACUAGUGAGUGUAUACUGAGAAGGGAUUAUAAACCUUCCCUGGCACAACAGAUACAAAAAGAGAUAGAACCAAUGAUAUUUUGUCUAGGUACAAUAUCUAGAUUUACAGUAUCUAGUUUACUGGCUUCACUUCGUAUAGCAAUGCACAAUAGAAAACGGAUUUCUUUCUUCAAGGGUAUUCAAGAAUAUAGUAAAUAUGUUACUAUAUUGAUGGCUAUGAAAACAGACAGAGACAAAUGAGUGAGGAGGCACGUUCUCUCACAGAGACAGGACUUCAUUCUAUUUCACAUAAAUCAUUAAGGGUCCAUUCAAAUAUAAGACCUCUCACAAAGUUUCAGUCAUGUAUGAGGGCGCUUACCUUUAAGACCCCAUUUCAAAACCAUUUUGAAAUAGUGAAGGGGGGAAAAAGUCACACUCAAAUGUGCUACUCUUAAAAGCAGUGUUUCUAAGCACAGCUUGCCUUUUUCAAAGAGUGAAGGUGGCCUUUCUGUUUAGUGGUUAGGUAAUUGGGUGCAAUAAUCAAAUCUUAAGGCAAUGGCAAGGCUGAUGGUGGGGAUUUGGCACAAUAAGGGGAAGGAAUGAUGCUGUCCAGUUGUACCUUAAAUCCUAAAGGAUUACUAAUGACAUGGGAGGGAUAGCUACCUGCCCCACACACAGGGGCUCCUGGACAAUACCGUGGCUUUAGAAACAAACCUAGGUUCUGAGGGAAUGACACUGCAAAGUCUUACAGAAAUCCUUUUAUGAGAUAGCCAGUCCAGAAUAAAGCCUUUGCGGUACUUGUCAACAAGCAAGAAGCCUUCUGAAGAGGUAGAUGAAAGCAGUAUUUCACAGCAGGUGUGCUGCCCGACGUGACGAAAGACAUGCAUGCGCCUCUCAGCACAGACCAGAAGAUCAACUGUUGUUGAAAACAGUCCAUGGUGGUGAGAAGAGAUGUCGGCCACAUUACUAGGUGCAUUAUUUCAAUUUUAUUGUAUUAAGAACAGGAAGGACUGCCAUUUCUUUAAAUAACAAACUAUACAAAUAAAAAGGAGCAGAAAUAAUAUGGAAUGUUUUUGACGAAAACAAACUUAUGGAUUCAAUAAAUAAUAUAAAAUGCCUUUGUGCUAAAAUAGAACUCUUGUUUCUUAUAUAUAUAUAGUUCAGUGAUCUUUAUGCUAUCCAGAAAAAGCCAGAUCUAUUAUAAUUAAACAUAGAAAAAUACCAUUUAACAAUAAAACUAAAAAAAUGGCCAGUGUUGAGCUUAUAAACCACAUAUAAUAUAUACAUCAUUUAAUAUAAUCAACUAAGAAAGUAAAUUUCAAGUUCUUUGUAAUACAAAUACACAAUUGAAAAUAUUUCUCCAUUCCCUACCCUUACAUCAAAGACAUCUGAUAUUUAGGACAAAAUUAAAAAUGGAAGCAUAGUUACCAGUUUUCAGAGAUGAUUCUGAGAUUGUUAGAUACUGGAGCGCUAACUCUACUAUACAAAGCUGAGUUAUUUAACUCUAAAUUGAAGGAUUUUUUCCCCUAUAUGUGUUUGAUGAAAUGCGUAUACUCUUAACCCAUUUUCUGUAGUUUGUGUUUUUAAUAAAGGCAAUUUAAAAUUUGGGAGCCUGCGUUUCUCAAUCAGUGCUAACACAGCCAGGUCAGAAAGACAGCCCCUUUGGGCCAGCUGUGGGGGCCUGCAGGAGUGGUUAUCUCUGUGAUUCGGCUGAAAUAAAACAACUAUCUUAGUCCUUAAGGACAAAGAAAAUAUAAAGUUCAUUGUGACUUGAGGAAGCCAAGGAGUACCAUUUUAGAGUUCAAAUUUCAUUUGUUUCAUAAUAAACUUUGUUAAAAUGUGACCUGGAUUAAAAAAAAAUCAUAUUAACAUGAAUUUAAGUAAUUCAAGUCUCUCCAGUAAACUUUACAUAGGAGGGAAAAAUCAUGUUAAAUCUUUAGGAAAAAAUUUAAACGGUUAAUUACUUAAAAAAAUUUUUUUUGUAGAGAUGGGGUCUUGCUGUGUUGCCCAGGCUGGUAACUCACCGUGGAAGUGAGCAGGGUAGAACAGAAGAGGCCUGUUACUCUUGACAGUUUUACCAGGACUUCAGUGGAUUUGUAACAGUGUCCCCAACUGACCAAUGGGGCAAUGCAUUCACAGUGAUCCAGACACUGCCUCUCCACCUCGGGGGCUGCAAAGUGCACACACACACACACACACACACACACACACACACACACACACACGGGGUGUUUUGGAGAUGGCCUGGUAAUGCUUUAGCUCUGGGUCCCCUGUGCCUCCAUGGGAGGGUGCCAGAGGGUAGGCAGAGGCAAAAGAACUUCUUCAGAAAGUCCUGAUAGGCAGCAAAUGGCUUCUGAAUGAGUUCAGCAGCUCCACAUUCAAAAACAAAGUGACCAAGUCUCAGAAUAAUUAUCAUAAGGAAAACUCUCCUGUUACAGGGGGGAAAAAAGAAACUUCACCUAUUUUAACUCAGUUAUUUCCUUGGUGCUUUAUGGUGUAAUGAUUUUUACCAGUAACUUCUUUCUUCCUUCGCCCGAUUUCUACCACUAUUCUCUUUGUGACACCCAGCCCAGCCCCCACCUGUCACAGAUCCCAGUGAAGCCCAAAUCAUCUCCCAACAAGUCAACCCCUCACUCAGGGUGGGAGGUGUUAAUUCAUCAAGCAUCUCUGAAUGACACAGAAACAUUUCCCUGAACGUAACUGAGACAACACUGCAUAUGAUUAAAUCAUACAAGAUAACUCUUAUCUUACACCAGCACAUUUCAAAGCAUUUCUAUAGGUUUACAUCAUGCUAAAGAGGCCAGACUUUGAGAACGUUGUUUUCUUCUUGAUAUGUUAAAAUUCUGAAACAUUAGAAAAAUCAAUUCCACUGAAAAGUAAAAUGUGUUGAAUUGGCCCAGCUACAAAUUCCGAGUGAAAUUUUAAAAAGCAGAGAAAAACCACACUUUGAUCUUUUUAAUCUAGUUAAAUCCCUGUCGUCAAUUGGUAAACAUUACUUUGUAGAUGACCAGUGUGGCCUUCAAACAGUCGUUUCUAAUAUCUGUAUAUGGCAUAUGUCAGACCAGAAAUCAAGCUACAUCUUGUUUGCAACAAACAGACCAUUGUUUGUUGCUGCUGCUGUCUUCAGCAAAAUGCUUCCUUUCCUCAGUGCAUCUCACUGGAUAUUUAGCCCCCCUCCUUUUUUUUUUUGAGACAGAGUCUCGCUCUGUCGCCCAGGCUGGAGUGCAGUGGCGCAAUCUCGGCUCACUGCAAGCUCUGCCUCCCGGGUUCAUGCCAUUCUCCUGCCUCAGCCUCCCAAGUAGCUGGGACUACAGGCGCCCGCCACCACGCCCGGCUAAUUUUUAUUUGUAUUUUUAGUAGAGACGGGGUUUCACUCUGCUAACCAGGAUGGUCUCAAUCUCCUGACCUCGUGAACCGCCCCUCUCGGCCUCCCAAAGUGCUGGGAUUAUAGGCGUGAGCCAUCGUGCCCGGCCAGCCCCUUCUUUUUAAACAUAGGACCUGAAAUUGUCACGUCAGUGAAUGGACCAAUCAGAGGCAUGAGCACUUUGCAUGAAUGGUGACAUAAUAAGCUGACUUCUAGAAGUUUUGUUGAAAAAUCAUACUUAAAUAUGACAAAGAAGGAAAACCAAUGAGCCCCCAUGACAUGAGGGGAUGAAUGAACCAAAGAGAAUGUUUUAGGUUAAAAAUAAUAAACCUGAAUUCACAAAGGUUUUUAAUUUAUUCCAUAUAUAUCUUACAUAGCAGCUUAAAGUAAUCUAUUAUUUUUAGGCUUUAUUGAUUCUUUUGAAUCAUGAAAUCAAGACUUAUUACCGCAUGAUUUUGUAAAAAUAUCAACCUCAAUUAUUUUUCUCAUCAAUGUUAAAAUAUCCCAACCACAGGAAUCUAAAAUAAUGAAAAAAAAUAGGCUGAAUUUUGACCUUUUUAAUAGUUGGAGUGUAAUAAGGGUGAACAUCUAGGAAUUAUGUAAUACUUGGAAAACCUUCUAAAACAUCCAAGUACUAUGGCUGGGCAUGGUGGCUUACAUCUCUAAUUCCAGCAUUUUGGGAGGCCAAGGAAGGAGGAUCACUUGAGCCUAAGAGUUCAAGACCCCAUCUCUACCCAAAAAAUAAAUUAGCCAGGAAAGGUGGCAUGCACCUGUAGUCCUAGCUACUCAGGAGGCUGACGUGGGAGGAUUGCUUGAACCUAGGAAUUCAAGGCUGCAGUGAGCCAUGAUCAUCCCACUGUUCUCCAGCCUGGGUGACAGAGCGAGGCCCUAUCCCAAAAAAUUAAAAAAUUAAAAAAAAACAACAGCCAAGUAUACCAUGAUGUUUAAUCCAACUGACUUUUCCUCUGGCCAUGCAGGCAACCGGGUGCAGACACAGCGGUAUCCUGUGUCUGGUCGCAGAAACACCUCCAUCACAACAUUUUGGCAGAAGGCACUCAAACCAGACCCCAACACAACUGGUGACCGCCCUCAGAAACAGCUCAAUCUAGUCUUACAAAGCACUUUUAAUAAAUGACAUCUAGAUGUACUUCUCAACCAUAUCAUUACAAAUCAAAUGUGAGUUGGGGAAGUGUAAAAGUUUACACUUUUGUUUGAAGCAAAAGGACUUUCAGAGCAUUUUCCAAUUCAUAUAUCUUUUCUAAAAGGGAGUGGAGCCUUAUGUUCUAUUCUUAGAGCAGAAAUUCUAGUUUUUGAAAGAGAUGCGGAUCAGCUCAAUUUUAGAACAAGUAUGGGAAAGUUGAAUAAUCUUUCUGAACACGUUUGUGCAGCUCACGCCCUAGGUACGAGAUAUUAGACGCUAAGCCCAGACCCUGGUGGAGUCAACAGCAGGCCCUUUAUCCUGGAGAUCUAGAACAGGCAUGAGGCCCAGCGCAUCCUCAACUGCACAUGCUGAGAACCUAUGAGCUUGAGAUGCAGACGGGAACGGCAUCAGUCACAGCUAUAAUUAACCAGGGCUGGGAAGACAUUCACUCUUUAAGAACAAUGGCUUUUCUGCUUCUGGAGUGUGUGUGUGUGUGUGUGUGUGUGUGUGUGUGUGUUUCAACAGAAUUUGAAUACUAUUCUUCCUUUUUAAAUAAGGAGAAUGCAUGUAAGUAGUACAUCCCUCCUCCCACACUGGAAAUAACAGAUAGUAGAAAAUGUAUGUUAAUUUAAACCCCAACUAGUAGUUGAGAUAGACAAAAAAAAAAACCCACAUUUUUUUUUUUGCAAAGUAACUCUUAUGAAAUAAUGGACCCUUUUGGUAAUUAUCUUCCAAACUCUCAAAAUAACUGCAUUAAAAAGUACUUACUUUGCCCAUGAACACAGCAAACAAAUACAAAAACAAAGAUUUGGAACUGCUAAAAAUAUCAAGGACAGGAUGCAGACAAUUACGAUGUCAAGUUAUUUAUACUGUUAGUAGUUAAUGUAAAGACAUACACUAAAACUACUCCAAGAAUGGGACAAAUACGUGGAUUUGUAAAAUUUUUUUUUUAAGACUGAUGACAUGGGGGAUUUCGCUGGUUCUCAUAACCCAGCAUCUAUUUGGGGGUAUCAGUGGGGCCUGGAGGCAGUGGGAGAAAACAAACUUCACAGGGCAGAUGCUGCUGGGACCAGGAAAAAGGCUUCAUGCCCUAAGGUCCUCACUGUCGUACAGCCCAGUGCAAAGUAUCAUUCAUUCAUGACAGAUGCAUGACGACAUGAAAGUCAAUAUACACAGUUAACCCAUUUUGACACAUUCAUUCCUCAGCAUUUUUUCAAUACAAUUCAUCUGAAAUUAUACUAAGACAUAAAACAGACCUGCUUUUGUACAUCCAUUACUGAUAUGUCUCCCAGGGUCAGGCAGAAGGAACCAGAAUGACUGUCACACAACUGCUAAUUGUCGAGACCUGAGACGGACUCACCCAUGAGUGCUCCUGCAUGCCAGGUACUGCUUGUCGACUCGUGCACACUGGACUCAAAGACUUUUGAAAACUGCUCUUGCCCCUGAAACCUAAAACUCCACGGCCUGUCCUUCAGAAUCACUGUAAAUCUUUCCAAUGAUGGACGGAUGAAUGCCUUCAAUGAUUAGUUAAUCCCAUACACUUGGAUAGUACGUGUCCGUCAUUCCCACCUGGCUGAGGGGGCCCCGGAACAGACUGGUCAGAGGCAGGGCAGUCAUGUGGGUGCGGCUCCCAGAGGAGGGCCCAAGUGCAGAAAUAUCUUCAACUUUUAAUAUCAUCAGAAAAUAUCUUUAAAUUCCAUUCUGGGGAGUCUAAGAUGUGUUUGAUAUCAGACAUAAAAAUUUACGUGAUAAGUAGGAGUCACUUCAAGUUCUAGGUUCAUAGGUACCAAAGUGUGUAGCAAAGAAAAAGAACUUUUAUUUCUUCAGUAGUUUCUAAUGCAGACAAAUGUGACAAGGCAGGGAGCUGAGCUGACCCCAAGCCGAAGGGUCCCGACUCCUCUCGG